ensembl:lncRNA
CAACCUACCACUGGAGUUGAUAGAGCAUGACAAGGCAACCCUCUCCAGCGUUUGUUUUAGAACCAUUUUCCAUAAAAGUUAUAUACAGCUCCGGAAAAAAAUUAAGAGAGUGCACCUUUUUCUUUCCUUUCCAAAAGAGUUGGUCUCCUAAUUUUAACCCUUCUGUUCCUCACUCAAGGGUUCUAUUUAGCUCCAGAAGGGUUGUAACAAUUUUCUUCACAGGAGAAAUAAUGUAUCUUUUCUGUAAGGACACUAAUUAUGCAAAAUGUUUAGACCAUAAUUAUAUCUAGUAGUCACUAAGAAAUACAAUCACAUUUUUGUUUGCACUAUGAAAUAUCCUUGAUUGCUCCAUAAUGCUUUCAAAAGACGUUCUCCAGAUUUAAGCGGUCCAGUACAAACAGGAACGCACACACUACUUUAGGUCACCCUGGAAAAAAGCAUUUGGUAAGUAAAAACAUUUUCUUCUGGGGCUACACACAAAGAUCCAUUGUUCAAAUUAUUUUUCAGAUUCCAGACUUAAUUUUAAUGUACGUAUAAUAAUGUAUCUAUUCUGUGUAAAUUAUGCCAUGGUAGGGUUGAGAAACAUCCAUUCAAUUUGAUUGACUGAUUUGUUAUAUUUGACAAAUUAAAAACACAAUGCAAUCACAAAUGUGGAUACAAUGCAUUUAAAAUAUGCCCAGAAUAACACAAAAGGUUAGAACUUUAUUACCAUUGUGGAUCUUUGUCAAUCAUGUUACACAUUCAAUGCUAAAAGCACAUUUCCGUAAACAUCACAUGGACCAAAUCUAUACCACUGCCCAUCUGGUUACUAUUUAUUUGCACAGUCAACUUGUAAUGUAGCGCCAUCAAGUGGUUAAUAUUAUUUUCACCAGAGAGGAAGUGAACCAAGGUUCACACUGCUAAAAAUCUGUCCACAUUAGCCAGAACAUUUAUUAUUAAACAAGUGAAGUUUUUGCAUAAGGACAACAGAGAUAUUGGAUUAAAUUGUCUAUUGUUACUUCUUAACACUAACCACACUGAUAUUGAAGUAUUUUUUCCCUCAGGAAUUUAAGAUUCAAUGAAAUAAAAAAAAGAUCUCCAGGCAAUGUAAAAACAAUCAGGAUAGCAUAACAUUCCCAUAGAUCAUUAAAAAAGCAAUAACAAUGAUAUUACCAUGUUACAAUUUAGUUUCAAGUUUAUUCUUGUUUCAUGUUUAGUUCAAUUUAUAUCAGGUAAAGAGAAACAAUGUCAAAAUCAGGACUUCCUCGAAUGAUCAUCAUUUUCAGUUGAGACAGAAGACAGAUGUUUCCUUUUGGAAGGUAAUUUUCUGUGCCACUCCUCGCAUCACCAAUGCUCAUUAGUCAUAACAAAUGCAAUCACGUGUGACAAGGCCCAGCCGGUGUGAAACCUCUAGAAGCAUCACCUCCCAUACUUUAAGUGGCCAGCAUAUAACUCCACUCGCUCAUUUAAAACUUUAUAGUGAACGUAAAAAAAUGUCAGGCUAUCCUCUACUAUUAGCCAUUUAAAUAUUAUUAUGGGAUACAUUCCCCACAGUGUUGUUGUUUGUCACUGCAAGUUUUGUUUCCGUGGUCCACAGUUGUCCGGAGAAAUGUUCUUUAUGCCUUUCUCUGCUUGCUGUAGCUGUGUCCUCUGCAUUGUCCUCGCUCGUGCAGGUUUUGCCUCGCAUUGAAUGAUCCCCUCUGGGUGUGUUCAGUGUGUUUGGCUUAGAACCUGUUUCUGCUGUUCCAGGCCAUUAUGGUUUAUGCUUAUCGCCGGCUGUGCCCAGGAUUCCUUGUUGCUUGAUGAUUUUUCUGCUGUGUUUGAAGUCCGUCAUCGGCUCCUCUGCGGGACUCGGUUGGUCAGCUCUGUCUACUUCCAUGGCUACAG